rnacentral:rRNA from 1 species
ACACGUAUCCAACCUGCCUCAUACUCGGGGAUAGCCUUUCGAAAGAAAGAUUAAUAUCCGAUAGCAUAUAUUUCCCGCAUGGGUUUUAUAUUAAAGAAAUUCGGUAUGAGAUGGGGAUGCGUUCCAUUAGUUUGUUGGGGGGGUAACGGCCCACCAAGACUACGAUGGAUAGGGGUUCUGAGAGGAAGGUCCCCCACAUUGGAACUGAGACACGGUCCAAACUCCUACGGGAGGCAGCAGUGAGGAAUAUUGGUCAAUGGACGCGAGUCUGAACCAGCCAAGUAGCGUGAAGGAUGACUGCCCUAUGGGUUGUAAACUUCUUUUAUAUGGGAAUAAAGUUGUCCACGUGUGGAUUUUUGUAUGUACCAUAUGAAUAAGGAUCGGCUAACUCCGUGCCAGCAGCCGCGGUAAUACGGAGGAUCCGAGCGUUAUCCGGAUUUAUUGGGUUUAAAGGGAGCGUAGGCGGAUUGUUAAGUCAGUUGUGAAAGUUUGCGGCUCAACCGUAAAAUUGCAGUUGAUACUGGCAGUCUUGAGUGCAGUAGAGGUGGGCGGAAUUCGUGGUGUAGCGGUGAAAUGCUUAGAUAUCACGAAGAACUCCGAUUGCGAAGGCAGCUCACUGGAGUGUAACUGACGCUGAUGCUCGAAAGUGUGGGUAUCAAACAGGAUUAGAUACCCUGGUAGUCCACACAGUAAACGAUGAAUACUCGCUGUUUGCGAUAUACAGUAAGCGGCC